GAUGAAGAACGUAGCGAAAUGCGAUAAGUAGUGUGAAUUGCAGAAUUCAGUGAAUCAUCGAAUCUUUGAACGCACAUUGCGCCCCUUGGUAUUCCGGGGGGCAUGCCUGUUCGAGCGUCAUUAUCACCCCUCAAGCUCAGCUUGGUGUUGGGCCCCGCCGCCCCGGCGGGCCCUAAAGUCAGUGGCGGUGCCGUCCGGCUCCGAGCGUAGUAAUUCUUCUCGCUCUGGAGGUCCGGUCGUGUGCUCGCCAGCAACCCCCAAUUUUUUUCAGGUUGACCUCGGAUCAGGUAGGGAUACCCGCUGAACUUAAGCAUAUCAAUAAGCGGAGGA
rnacentral:misc_RNA from 1 species